CUAUCAAAAUAGAUUUACUGAAAGUGGUGUUACACAAAACCUUACAAAUGAUUUUAAAAGCAUUUUCACUUAGGCAUGACCAAGAUGACGCACAGUGUCAAAAGUAUUUAAAGAUUUGCCAUGGGAGAACUUCAAGUUGAGGUACUGAUGGGAUAAUCUAACUGACGAAAGAACGAGGAACACAUAGGCAAAAAAUGGAAGAAUACCUGGCAAAAAUGGGUUGUACUGAUGUUUCUUCCCUCAAUCUUCAUUCGAUCUCUCAACUUGGUAUGAUAUAACUAGAGGUCCUUGUGAAGGACGCUUAUAUGGAUCCGGGAGUAACUUGUCAUCUACAAGUGCAAGUUCAAUCAAUUCUACUAUUAGAGAAUUUGAGGAGAAGCUUAAUGAGUUAAUAAACGCAGUGGAGGAUAUGCGCUCUAAUGCUACAAAGAUGGAAGAAGAAUUUUCAAGACGAGAAGAAGAAAAUAGAAAAUUGUUUGAAACUGCUCUUGAAGAAGCUUGAAAGAGGGAGGAAGAUGUUCGAAAGAGGGAGACAGACCUACAAGAAUUGGUUCGUAAAUUAAGUGAAAAUAUCGGCUACACAAACCAUCAAUUUUUUGGUGGGUCUGGACAGUAGGAGAACAACAUUCUAGGAAAGAUCAUUAGUUUCUUUUAUCUAUUGGUUGUUUAUAACUUAGUUUGUGUUGUUUUAGGUUGUAUUCUGACUUACUUUUGUUAUUGUUUCUGGUUGGUUUUGGGAGUUUAGACAUGAUAUGUUUUGGUUGGUAUGGUACAAUGACUUAAUGUUGGUCGUUGCUAGUUUGGAAGUGCAACCAUUGAUAUUAUUUGGUUGUGUUUGGAUGGUAUA